AAGUCGGUUGUGAAAGCCUUCCGCUCAACGGAAGAACGGCAUCCGAUACUGCAUGGCUUGAGUGUGGGAGGGGAGAGUGGAACUUCUGGUGGAGCGGUGAAAUGCGUAGAUAUCAGAAGGAACACCGGCGGCGAAGGCGACUCUCUGGUCCAUAACCGACGCUGAGUGUGCGAAAGCUAGGGGAGCAAACGGGAUUAGAUACCCCGGUAGUCCUAGCCGUAAACGAU
rnacentral:rRNA from 1 species